rnacentral:rRNA from 1 species
GACGAACGCUGGCGGCGUGCCUAAUACAUGCAAGUCGAGCGAAGUUUUUCUGGUGCUUGCACUAGAAAAACUUAGCGGCGAACGGGUGAGUAACACGUAAAGAACCUGCCUCAUAGACUGGGACAACUAUUGGAAACGAUAGCUAAUACCGGAUAACAGUAUUUCUCGCAUGAGAGAUAUUUAAAAGUUGGUUAUGCUAACACUAUGAGAUGGCUUUGCGGUGCAUUAGCUAGUUGGUGGGGUAAAGGCCCACCAAGGCGACGAUGCAUAGCCGACCUGAGAGGGUGAUCGGCCACACUGGGACUGAGACACGGCCCAGACUCCUACGGGAGGCAGCAGUAGGGAAUCUUCCGCAAUGGGCGAAAGCCUGACGGAGCAACGCCGCGUGAGUGAAGAAGGAUUUCGGUUCGUAAAGCUCUGUUGUUAGGGAAGAAUGGAUGUGUAGUAACUAUACAUGUAAGAGACGGUACCUAACCAGAAAGCCACGGCUAACUACGUG